rnacentral:rRNA from 1 species
UAGGGAAUCUUCCGCAAUGGGCGAAAGCUUGACGGAGCAACGCCGCGUGAGUGAUGAAGGUCUUCGGAUCGUAAAACUCUGUUAUUAGGGAAGAACAAAUGUGUAAGUAACUAUGCACGUCUUGACGGUACCUAAUCAGAAAGCCACGGCUAACUACGUGCCAGCAGCCGCGGUAAUACGUAGGUGGCAAGCGUUAUCCGGAAUUAUUGGGCGUAAAGCGCGCGUAGGCGGUUUUUUAAGUCUGAUGUGAAAGCCCACGGCUCAACCGUGGAGGGUCAUUGGAAACUGAAAAACUUGAGUGCAGAAGAGGAAAGUGGAAUUCCAUGUGUAGCGGUGAAAUGCGCAGAGAUAUGGAGGAACACCAGUGGCGAAGGCGACUUUCUGGUCUGUAACUGACGCUGAUGUGCGAAAGCGUGGGGAUCAAACAGG